UAUAUCCAAAUGCAAUCGAUUUCACCAACGGUGUGUCUCGUUGUUAUUAAUCAUAAUAUACAUAAAUCAAAAGACUCAAUUGUUAACGAAUCAUUCUACCGGUGGUUUAGCUGUAAAACCUUCAACGCUCGUAGUUUGUUUAGUUGAUCUAUUUCUUUGCUUCAGCCGACCUCACGCUUAUUCUAGUAUUUCAAUUACUAGACAUCCAGUUGUUCCUACUAUCCAGCUCUCGCCUACUUUACGAACUUGCAGACGUUUACAAGAGUCGCACACGUAGCACAAGAAGAACGUCUGCCGAGAAACCAUGUCUUUUAACUUCCCAGCGUGCACCUACAUCGUGGCCAUGAUAUCUGACGCUUUUCUGUUAUUCUUCUCGGUGUUUCAUGUUAUUGCGUUUGAUGAACUGAAAAAUGACAGCAAGAAUCCUAUUGAUCAAUGUAACAGCUUAAAUCCAUUAGUGAUUCCAGAGUAUAUUUUACAUUUCUUCUCCAAUUUGUUAUUUUUGUUUGGAGGCCAGUGGUUAUCCAUUGCUAUAAAUGUUCCAUUAAUGGCUUAUCAUAUUUCAAAAUAUCGAAAUAGGCCCGCUAUGUCUGGUUUUGGCCUCUAUGAUCCGACGAGUAUUAUGAAUGCUGAUAAAUUAAAUAAAUAUCAACGUGAAGGUUGGAUAAAAUUGACAUUUUAUUUGUUUUCAUUUUUUUACUAUUUAUAUGGAAUGAUAAGAGCAUUAAUCACAGUGUAAACCUAUGAUGCUUUGAACAUUCAUCUUGUACAACUAUAAUAGUCAAAAGUUAUACUUAAUAAUGGGCAAUUGGUACAAAAAUCAAUGGAUUGAAAAAUCCAACAAUUUUUAAUUAUUUCAGUAAAUAUGUAUGUUACUGGCAAUCUGGAAUGUUGGAACUGUCAAUAAAAUAAUUAACAAUUAAGUUAAUUGUAUUAAACAUGAUAAACUUUAUUAUAUUUAAUAGAUUACUAAAAUUGUAAUACUUCAAUAAUAAUUGUAAGAAAGACUG